UGGAUCCAGACUUUGAUUCUGGCUCAGGAUGAACGCUAGCUACAGGCUUAACACAUGCAAGUCGAGGGGAAACGAUAGAGAAAGCUUGCUUUUUCUAGGCGUCGACCGGCGCACGGGUGAGUAACGCGUAUCCAACCUGCCCACCACUUGGGGAUAACCUUGCGAAAGUAAGACUAAUACCCAAUGAUAUCUCAAGAAGACAUCUGAAUGAGAUUAAAGAUUUAUCGGUGAUGGAUGGGGAUGCGUCUGAUUAGCUUGUUGGCGGGGUAACGGCCCACCAAGGCGACGAUCAGUAGGGGUUCUGAGAGGAAGGUCCCCCACAUUGGAACUGAGACACGGUCCAAACUCCUACGGGAGGCAGCAGUGAGGAAUAUUGAUCAAUGGGCGAGAGCCUGAACCAGCCAAGUAGCGUGCAGGAAGACGGCCCUAUGGGUUGUAAACUGCUUUUAUAAGGGAAUAAAGUGAGCCUCGUGAGGUUUUUUGCAUGUACCUUAUGAAUAAGGACCGGCUAAUUCCGUGCCAGCAGCCGCGGUAAUACGGAAGGUCCGGGCGUUAUCCGGAUUUAUUGGGUUUAAAGGGAGCGUAGGCCGGAGAUUAAGCGUGUUGUGAAAUGUAGAUGCUCAACAUCUGCACUGCAGCGCGAACUGGCUUCCUUGAGUACGCACAAAGUGGGCGGAAUUCGUGGUGUAGCGGUGAAAUGCUUAGAUAUCACGAAGAACUCCGAUUGCGAAGGCAGCUCACUGGAGCGCAACUGACGCUGAAGCUCGAAAGUGCGGGUAUCGAACAGGAUUAGAUACCCUGGUAGUCCGCACGGUAAACGAUGGAUGCCCGCUGUUGGUCUGAAUAGGUCAGCGGCCAAGCGAAAGCAUUAAGCAUCCCACCUGGGGAGUACGCCGGCAACGGUGCAACUCAAAUGAAUUGACGGA
rnacentral:rRNA from 1 species